rnacentral:rRNA from 1 species
UUAAGCAUAUAAUUAAGCGGAGGAAAAGAAACUAACCAGGAUUCCCCUAGUAAGGGCGACUGAAGCGGGAAGAGCUCAUAAUGUGAAUCUGCGCUAUUUGCGCCGAAUUGUGGUCUGUAGAAGCAUGUGUUUGGCACGCCGGGUGAAGUCCCUUGGAAAAGGGCAGCUGAGAGGGUGAGACUCCCGUACUUGCCUGGGCUGUGGCCAUUUGACACUAGCUUUCAACGAGUCGAGUUGUUUGGGAUUGCAGCUCAAAGUUGGUGGUAAAUUCCAUCUAAAGCUAAAUAUGGGUGGGAGACCGAUAGCGUACAAGUACCGUGAGGGAAAGAUGCAAAGAACUUUGAAAAGAGAGUUAAAGAGUACCUGAAAUUGCUGAAAGGGAAGCGAAGGAAACCAGUGUUUUGCUUUGUCAUACUUCUCCUCUCGCUUGCGGGUGGGGCGCUGUGGCGUUGCAUGAGUCAGUUUUGGUUGGUCUCUGCAGAUACCUGACCGUGGGAGGUAGGUCCUUAUGGGCUGUUACCAUGGUCAUGUGUGUUGGGACUGACUGAUGUUGACGAAAUGG